rnacentral:rRNA from 1 species
AUACGUAGGUGGCAAGCGUUGUCCGGAUUUAUUGGGUUUAAAGGGUGCGUAGGCGGCCUAUUAAGUCAGUGGUGAAAUAUCUCAGCUUAACUGAGAAGGUGCCAAUGAUACUGAUGGGCUUGAGUACAGAUGAGGUAGGCGGAAUUGACGGUGUAGCGGUGAAAUGCUUAGAUAUCGUCAAGAACACCUAUAGCGAAGGCAGCUUACUAGGCUGUAACUGACGCUGAGGCACGAAAGUGUGGGGAUCAAACAGGA